rnacentral:siRNA from 1 species
GCCUCUGGUCGAUGGAACAA